rnacentral:sRNA from 1 species
UCUCUGAAUUCAGUUGUAUUUAAUUCUGGGAGAUACCUUCGGAACAUUCCAACGUAUUCUGAAACUGGCGACCUACUUCCGUGAUCAGUUUGAAUUCUCUAAUGGGGAACCGAGAUGGAUGCUAAUUAGAUUCGAUAAUUUGUAUAGUGGUUCUAAUUGUGGUCCAUACUGAGAUUUACUGGUUUAUUCAUUAUAAUCUGAAUAAUUUAGUUUUAAUAUAGGUGAUAGAUUAAAAGUGACAACAGUGUGGCUUCAGUUCUCUACAAAAGCUCAACGACUAACUAGAAGUUGGAUUAACCAUCAUUUCAUUGCCAGCAGUAUUUCUGCUGUGGAUAACUAAACCUUUGUAGUGAUUGAAUUCAGUUCACAUUAAAUUGAUUUAUAGUGUUUAUCACAACGCAGAGUUACCAGCAACUAUAGCCACCAAGAGUAACCACUAACGUUUUCAAAUAGUGGAACAAGCAAAGGUGAUGCAUUUUUGAAAGACAACUUGCAAUUCAUUAUUCACAUCAAAUCAACUUGUUACAAGAAAGAGAAAAACCUAAAUCGAAUCUCUAUACACGGAUAUCAUCUUCAUUCUUACACCCAGCAGACAACAAAAAAAC